UGGGGAAUUUUGCACAAUGGGGGAAACCCUGAUGCAGCGACGCCGCGUGAUUUAGAAGGCCUUCGGGUUGUAAAAAUCUUUUUUACGGGAUGAAAAUGACAGUACCGUAAGAAUAAGGUCCGGCUAAAUACGUGCCAGCAGCCGCGGUAAUACGUAUGGACCGAGCGUUGUCCGGAAUCAUUGGGCGUAAAGGGUACGUAGGCGGCCUAAUAAGUUAGAAGUGAAAGAAUAUAGCUCAACUAUAUAAAGCUUUUAAAACUGUUAGGCUUGAGAGAUGAAAGGGAAAGUGGAAUUCCUAGUGUAGCGGUGAAAUGCGCAGAUAUUAGGAAGAAUACCGGUGGCGAAGGCGACUUUCUGGUCAUCAUCUGACGCUGGGGUACGAAAGCGUGGGUAGCAAACAGG
rnacentral:rRNA from 1 species